UUCAUCAAUUUUAACAAAUUAUCAUUUCGCAAUAGUAAAUGAUGACUGAUGACGAAUGAAAACAAUUAAAGCCUGACCCUGGCUUACAUUAAAACAAUUCAGAAUCAGCGUUUGUCUCACGUUUAACGUAAUUUGUAUAUACCCUAGACGUGAAUAAAUAAACCAACAUUCCAAAUCAGUUCGUUACAAUUACAUAAUUGUAGCAGAAAUGAACAAAUCCAUGGCGUAAAAGCGAAAGUAUUAAAUAAAACAGCGAAGGUCGUCCAGGUAUAGUCGACUUGCUCAGAUUGUACAAACUAGUCUUUGUGGGAGAAGUUAUUUUGUGUAGUUCUUGUUGUGAUGAUGUUCUUUUACCCGAGUUAUUAAAACUGCGACUAAUAUUUAAUUAUGUUUAAAGUGCAUCACAAAUCAAACAUUAAUCCACGAUUUAAGGAGGCAUGCUUUCUAUAGCAAUGUAUGAUGACACCUUCCCAAAAUCCAUCUGGAAUUUUAUUGUGUAUAUACUCUUUAUAGUAUUAGGUCCUAUUCUCUUAUUUAUUGCAAUUUUUGUCCCUAAUAUACCCCUUACAAUUGUACGAAGAAUAUGUUACAUACCGUUUGAGUCUGUUUAAAAUUAAGUAUAAAUUAUUUGUAUUUAUAUGUGUAUCCUGUAAAUAAUAAAUGUGAUAUUAUUUAUAA